rnacentral:lncRNA from 1 species
UAAUUUUUAGGAAUAAUUGCCUAUGAACCCUUCAAAAUUUCGAAAAUAUCUUAUUUAUUUUUACUUUUUUUCUUUCCAAUAUAUAUCCCUUAUAUGUUUCGCCGUUAUUUCAAAACACCCCUGUAAUUACCACCCGUUAAGUUAACUUGAAUUAAACGUGAGCUAAACAUUUAUCAGAGUUUAAAAAAUAUCAAAAUGUCUAUUUUGCUUUUAACUUAAGGGCAAAUAAGAAAUAUUGGUGUUGGUAGAAGGACAUAUUUAAAAAGACUAAAAAUCAAAACAUUUUUUGUGCUCCUACGAAUAAGAAAAAUAGGUGAUGGUAAAAAGUAUAUUUGAAAGGGUAAAAUAGUAAUUUUAUAGAGAUAAUAGUUAUCGCUAACCGUUCAUUAAAAUAAUUUAACUCUAGUUAAAAUAAGUGGGAACGUAAAAAGAGUAUUUCCAAUAUAGCAUUCUAAAAAGGGUAAAUCAGAAAGUCGAAAACUUUUCAGGUUGGAAUGUAAAAAAGAGUAUUUUCAAUAUUAGCCUUCUAAAAAGAGUAAAUCAGAAAGUCGAAAACUGGAAUAUAUAAGCAAUUGUCUCUAUUUUUUUUUUUGAGAGAAAAAUAGCAUGCUACCGGUUUUGUUUAUUUUAUUUAGAAAUAAACUUAGCUGAAAAUGUAAAUCAACUAGGAUUCGAACUUGGGUCUCGAAUACCAACCACCAAACUCUUUUGCUACUUGUGCUAGGGACGGUCGGUAAUUACCCCUAAUAUUUAAAGAGUAAUGCUUCUAUACUUUUUUUUAUUUGGUUACCGUUCAUUCACGCGUAUUCAACGACUCAGAUUUAGUUUUUUAAAAAUUGUAACCUGCAAUAGCAGGUUACUUUGGAAGAGGUACCGGUUACUAGGUACCUCAAAAAAGAAUAUUUUUGUCUUUUAAUACAUGGGCAAUUUAGUCAUUUUACAUCUACUAUAUUUUCAAAAUUUUUAUUUUUUCUUUGUUUCCUUUUUCUCUCUUUAUCUUUCCUUUCAUAAUUUGGCAUUUCGAAAAAUUUCAAAUGAUUUGACAAUAUAUCAUUAAAUUUAAACUUUAAAUAGUAAUAUGAAAUUCCUCUAAUUUAAAUUUCAUAUAAAUACUUUGAAAUAUGGUAAACAGAAAUAAUUGUUUGAAUUCUAGUCUUUUGGUUUAGGUUUGGUUUUGGGUUUCGAAAAAUUGGUCAGUUUUGAAUUUGGAUAUGGAUUUUUGAAAUACGUCGAGCUCGAAAAUAAGUUUUGUGAUUGUUAGUCAGAUUCGAAUUCAAGUUCCUAACUAUUUUUUUUUCUCACCAAUAAUUCUAAUCUUAUUAAUUUAUAUGUUUAAAAUUAUAUUUAAAAUAUUUAUUAGCUCUAACAGUUAAAUUAUCAUUUUGAUUAAAAUAUUUAUUAUCUUUACCGGUUCCAAAUUGUUCUUAAUGUUAUUCGGUUCAAUAGGUAAAAUCAGAUUCUUGAUAGAAUAGGUCAAAAUCUGAUCAGCCAAAUCAAUCGGUUCAAUCUAGUUUUUAAAUCAUUGAAUUUAAAAUUUAAAUAGUAAUAUGAAUUUCCUCUAGAGAAAUCUAGUUGUAGAAAUCUUUACUCUCUAAGUUUUUUAUGCAUUACGUUUUAAACUGGUGCGAAUAAACUGUAUUUUAAAUCUU